AACGAACGCUGGCGGCAGGCCUAACACAUGCAAGUCGAGCGAGGACUUCGGUCCUAGCGGCGGACGGGUGAGUAACGCGUGGGAACGUGCCCUUUGCUUCGGAAUAGCCCUGGGAAACUGGGAGUAAUACCGGAUGAGCCCUUUGGGGGAAAGAUUUAUCGGCGAAGGAUCGGCCCGCGUUGGAUUAGGUAGUUGGUGGGGUAAUGGCCUACCAAGCCGACGAUCCAUAGCUGGUUUGAGAGGAUGAUCAACCACACUGGGACUGAGACACGGCCCAGACUCCUACGGGAGGCAGCAGUGGGGAAUCUUAGACAAUGGGGGAAACCCUGAUCUAGCCAUGCCGCGUGAGCGAUGAAGGCCUUAGGGUUGUAAAGCUCUUUCAGCUGGGAAGAUAAUGACGGUACCAGCAGAAGAAGCCCCGGCUAACUCCGUG
rnacentral:rRNA from 1 species